UUUUAAACUCGCAACUGGGAAACAUUGACCAUACCUUAAAAUUAAUUCAUCAAAAUGAACUGAAGUAACACAGCAAAGUUUAAGGUCCACAAUAUCACAAGAUUGAACCUUCAAAUUCUACAAAGUACUGUGUAGGCUGCCCACAGCACACCUGUGUGAGAAACAAGCUUUUCACUGGAUGCUCUAAUCCUUAGAAUUUGCAUAUACAAUAGUAGCAAACUAUCUAUGUAAUUUAGAAAAGGAAGGCCUGCAUCUUUUUGCAUCAUAUCAAAUGCAAGGCAACCAGUUCUACUCUCAAUUCACCAAUAAAGUUGUGAUUAACGCGGGAUUCCAACACACUGCUCAUCCCGAUCAGCUGGAAGACGGAAAGGAAAGCUCGCAAAGUGGAUCGUCAAGACAGGGGACUCAGGAUUUUUAUCAUCAAACUUGUACCCUGAAAAAAUCCACAUUCCAGAUCCUGAUAUAUGAUUUAUUUCCAUGCAGAACUUUUAUUGGUUGAGAAUUUUCAAUAUCUUUAAGAAGAUUACUGCAAGUUGCAUAUCAAAAGAAAUUAUCUGCAAACAUGAAAUAUGUGAUAUUGAAUUGAAAUACACAUGUACUUCAAUUGUAUACCAACCAAUCUAAAAUUAUAUGGACUGAAGACAUUGGCUACCUUGUUCCAUAAUUUCCAAAAGAAAAGGUACAAAAUGUAAAAUAUUUCGACCCUAAAAAAGUCAGUUGAAAAAUUUAAACCAAAAAGAAGCUUAUUCUUAUUUUCGGUGUACCUUGAAGAGAUUCCAUAGCAGUGACAGCAAACUUUGCAUCAAUGAACUCCACAAAGCACAAGACAGUAGCCCUAUCUCCACUACGUCUGGGCUCCUUGUGAAUAACUUUGAUGUCUUUGUAGCCAAUAAAUGGACGGAAAAGAUGGCCUACUUCCCUUCUAGUGCAAUUGGUAGGGAGCCCAUCAACAAACAGAAUGUUUGACUCUGCCCUUGGGGCUGAAGGACCAUCAACAUUUCUCAAAGAACUGGGCCUGUCAUUGAUCUUGUCAGGAAUGGCUGGAGUAAUGUUAACUGAUGCAUCCCGUCUUUGGCUUGGCAAAUUUGGAUCUUCUAGAGGAGAUGGGUACCGCUUUCCACUAGCUCCUGCUAUUACUCCACCAAUAAAAGGCUCAGAAUGAACCCCAAUCCCCGAAACAUUAUCCAACCCAUAAGACCCAGGCUCUCUGUGCGGAAAACCUGCAGCAGCAUCCCGCAACUCAUUAGAGAAUGGAAUAUGACGAGAAGCCAAAGAUGGUACUUCUGAUGACAUGUAGCCAUGAAAAUUAGGCAUACCUCUGCCUGCGAAAGCACCAUAUCGAUAGUAAGGAUCGGCCAUUGUGGUUUUUCUUUCAGGUCACUCGCUCCCCACUUGUCUUCUAACACUGAAGUUAAU
rnacentral:misc_RNA from 1 species